AGGCUUGUGUGAGUUGAGGCUCAUCUCUAGUUGCUCUGGCCACCAAAGUGCUUAGUGAUAUAUACUCAAUAAUUAGCAUAGGUGCUUUGUGAAGUACUUAAGUUAAUUAGGCAACCGCUUUAGCAUUUGCUCUAGGUUUAAGCCUAGCUAGCUAGUGUUUACUGAGGUUCACAUACUUCUUACCACUUAGUGCUUGUGUGCACCAUUGUUGUACAUCAGAGGGGUUUAUUUUCGUGCAAGACCGCACUGACCACGUUUGUGGUGUGGCUACCACCAUGUACUAGAGGAAAUGAGACCUAUGGCGAUUUUGGCUAGAAGCUCGAUAGUGAAGAUGACAGGGAGAGAUCCAAGGGAGACUAUCUUGAAAACCCACUUGCACUUGGGGAAGGCUCGGGGGCUAUCCAUAGUGUUACUCGACUAAGACCUUGGCCCUUACGGGAGGCUCGAUCCAAAAAGGAUUAGGGGGAAGCUUGAGUGCUUCUUGAUACCUUGGUAAAAAUAUCAACAUCAUUGAAUGAGAGUCUACAUAUCUCUAUUGCCAUUUACCUUCCACACUUAAUUUAUGUAAGUGCUUACUUUCCUAGCUGUGAUUGGCUAGUUGAUAUGAUUGGAACAUAAGGUGCAUAUAGCUCUUUUGCGGUAGAGAUAGCAAUACACCUAGCAAAAUCUUAGUUGCACAUCUAGAUAGAUUAUUUCUUGCAUAUGUUUUUACUAGGUUAAAUCAGAGGCGAUAGUUAGGAAUAGAUUUUAAGUUGACUAAUUCAUCCACCUCUUAGGUGUCAUGGUACCUUUACCCACAAUUCCAUUUAAACCCAUACAACAAAACAAACACACUUCAACUUUGGCCAACCCAAUUAACAUACUUGAUAUGAGCCAUAGAUCUACCGACCGACCAAAGAUGAAUGACAAAGGCUGCUGGAUUAGAUCUGACGACCUCUAUAGUUAAUUAUGCUUAGGUUUUGUUAUUUAAUGUAGACUAAUAUUCUCCCGCCAUAACAUUCAUAUGAAGCUCCACUACUAGUUUUAGACAUCCAUAUGGUCUCCAAAACAUGAUUUUGACUUAUGACUUUCCUCAAUGCAAAAAUAUGUAUAACAAUGGAUAAAAUCAAUGAUACAAUUCCCUCAUACCAUUUUCAAAUAUGCGGAACCCUCAUAUAAAAAGGUACAUAUUUGAAACCACAGUAAUUGAUUUGAUAAUUAUUUAAUCUCCC
rnacentral:lncRNA from 1 species